UUACUGACUACCUGAGAAGUACGAGUACGAGUGAGUUGAAAUCGAUAUGCAAUGAAAAAGAGGCCAUCUUACAGUAACAAACUGACAUCGUCCCUGUCUGUGAACGACUUGAGUCGAAUUUGAGCCGAAUUUGAGCUGAGACCUCUCUCGCCACAUCUUGUCUUCAUCGUCUUCAUCUUCGUCUUCACCUACCGGAUAACUUGAUCUUCUCCAAUAGCUUCUAGUAUACCAACAAAAUGACAUUGUGGAGGAGAUGUCGAGGUACUGUUUACAGAGUUGAAUAGCCAGUCCUCUCUGGACACGUGAUUCCUCCCGACACUUGAUUAAGCCGGAAUGAGCUCCAGAGUCAGUUUGAGACAGCCUUGCCGCGGAGAUCUGCCUAGUCGACCUACCGCGUGGAACGGCCUGGAUGAUCAUUGUCGAUAUACAGUACCGCGGAAAACUGCCUGAUUCACUACUGUAUGCUCUGUCGGAACUGGUCGUUGAUAUGGCCAGAAAACAACACUCCGGCCACCCACGGAACCAUGCCAGAACGAGCUCGGUAUAGGAGGGAAGGAUUGGAGACAAGACGUGAAUUCUCUCUCUUGUAAUUGUUCGUGGGUCUAAGAAUGAACAUCUAGAUGAACACCUCUCAGCGCGGCUGUUUAAGACACACGCUAGAAAGGAGCCACUGGUAGAGUAAA
rnacentral:misc_RNA from 1 species